rnacentral:rRNA from 1 species
GACGAACGCUGGCGGCGUGCUUAACACAUGCAAGUCGAACGGUGAAGCGCCUUCCUUUUUGGUGGGUGUGGAUGAGUGGCGAACGGGUGAGUAACACGUGAGUAACCUGCCCCCUUCUUCUGGAUAACCGCAUGAAAGUGUGGCUAAUACGGGAUAUUCUGGGUCUGUCGCAUGAUGGGUCUGGGAAAGAUAUUGUUUCGGUGGGGGAUGGGCUCGCGGCCUAUCAGCUUGUUGGUGGGGUGAUGGCCUACCAAGGCGGUGACGGGUAGCCGGCCUGAGAGGGUGGACGGUCACACUGGGACUGAGACACGCACCAGACUCCGACGGGAGGCAGCAGUGGGGAAUAUUGCACAAUGGGCGCAAGCCUGAUGCAGCGACGCCGCGUGAGGGAUGGAGGCCUUCGGGUUGUGAACCUCUUUCGCCAGUGAAGCAGGCCUGCCUCGUUUGUGGGUGGGUUGACGGUAGCUGGAUAAGAAGCGCCGGCUAACUACGUG